UGGGGAAUAUUGCACAAUGGGCGAAAGCCUGAUGCAGCAACGCCGCGUGAGUGAAGAAGGCUCUUGGGUCGUAAAGCUCUUUCGCAAGGGGAGAAGGGUCUGUAGGUGAAUAAUCUGCAGAUUUGACGGUACCUUGACAAGAAGCACCGGCUAACUUCGUGCCAGCAGCCGCGGUAAUACGAAGGGUGCAAGCGUUGUUCGGAAUUACUGGGCGUAAAGCGCACGUAGGCGGGUUUGCAAGUCAAUUGUGAAAGCCCCGGGCUCAACCCGGGAAUAGCAGUUGAAACUACGAAUCUUGAAUGCUUGAGAGGGUGGGAGAAUUCCUGGUGUAGAAGUGAAAUUCGUAGAUAUCAGGAGGAAUACCGGCGGCGAAGGCGCCUACCUGGCAGUGCAUUGACGCUGAAGUGCGAAAGCGUGGGGAGCAAACAG
rnacentral:rRNA from 1 species